rnacentral:rRNA from 1 species
AACGAACGCUGGCGGCAUGCCUAACACAUGCAAGUCGAACGAGACCUUCGGGUCUAGUGGCGCACGGGUGCGUAACGCGUGGGAACCUGCCCUUAGGUUCGGAAUAACUCCCCGAAAGGGGUGCUAAUACCGGAUAAUGUCUUCGGACCAAAGAUUUAUCGCCUUUGGAUGGGCCCGCGUUGGAUUAGCUAGUUGGUAGGGUAAAAGCGUACCAAGGCGACGAUCCAUAGCUGGUCUGAGAGGAUGAUCAGCCACACUGGGACUGAGACACGGCCCAGACUUCUACGGGAGGCAGCAGUGGGGAAUAUUGGACAAUGGGCGAAAGCCUGAUCCAGCAAUGCCGCGUGAGUGAUGAAGGCCUUAGGGUUGUAAAGCUCUUUUACCCGGGAUGAUAAUGACAGUACCGGGAGAAUAAGCUCCGGCUAACUCCGUG